CCUCUUCUGCACCCCCUCCCCGGAAACUCUAAGCACACACCCUACGUUCCGUACACCAGUUUAGUUCCGAUCCCCCACGCUCGGGCCGCGGGCCGCCGCUAGGGGGCGCGUUUGCGCCUCGCUGAAGAUCAGUGCCGGGAGGGCGGUGUCCAGAGCUGGGGUACGUUCCAGGGGCGCGUAGGGGGCCAUGUCCGCCAGCCCCGGGGGCUCCGCAGGGAAACAUCCUCCCUCUUUGGAGUCGCGCAGUUUGUCUGGCUCCCUCACCCGCCUGCCUCCGCGAGUUCGAGCCCAGAGAGCUGGACGAAACCCUUGCUUCCCGCCAAGAGUAUUUCUGGGGAGGAAAAACCGGGGAAAGACGACUUCCGUGGUCAGCCCGGCGGGUCACGCUGAUGACAGCUCAACUCUCGGUUUUGCAAGGAAGAGGAGAUUCGGCUUUGGGGAAACCUGAGAGACCUACCCAAGUCUUUGUCUUGCAAAGCUGUGCUUUUCAUCAGCUUGAAUAUGUUGUUCUGGUUCUCCUGAGAAGCAGAGGCCAAGACAGAGUUAAAUAUGCAAGGAUUUUCUUCCAUGAGAGAAGAGGGGAAGGCUGCCUCCACCUGAAGCAGAGGAGGAAAAGAGCCUGGAGGCAUUCCUGCCUGCCCCAGCAGGUUAGGGAAGCUGGUCAAGACCAUGAAAGGAGGGGACCCAGUUCCUUGAGCCCAAGUCCAGAACAAGAAGGAUCCCAGUCUUCCAGCGGCAGGCCUGCCAGACUGAGUGUCCCCGGCUGAGAGCAGCAGGUGGGAGGCGUGCCCUCGGAGCACACAGGAUGGAAUUCAGAGUACAACAGCAGGGGCUCUCGGUUAUGAACCCCCACCCACGUAGCUGGAGGUCUGUGAAGCAUUUGAAAUAAGCUGUGUUAAAGAAAUAAAUAAUUAAAGAAGCACUUGCUAUGCAUUUUACACUUACUAUGUAAUAAACACACACAUGCAUUUCUAUCGAUGAUCUCCUAUCAAGGUUCUACACCCUCUACUUCCACCUGGCCUGAAAGAUACAGACAAACACACAACUCCUAAAAGUGUAAGAACAGAGGAAAAAGCAGGUGCCAACCAAAGGCUUUUCUUUCUAUUAGUGUGCUACCAUGGGUCAAAAUGGUACCUUCACUUCAACAUCACUCCUUACUCACUCCUUAAUGUGCUAAGGUAGCAGUGGAGUGUGUG